UUAUGGUAUAUGCUCUCCAGCCCUGUGCCUAUGUGAUGAAAAAAAUAAGCCAUCGUCAAUAAUGAUCUAUAUAAAAUUUUGUAUAUUAUAACCAAACAAAAACUACGAUGUUACUUGAUAUUACCUCUAUAUAACCCUAAUAAAGAGUUAAAGACUCAAAAUUCGGAGAUUACGUACUCAGAUUAAAAGGAUGAUACAUUGGUUUCGAUGUCCGGCUUUCAUUCCCGGACGUGGUCUGGCUUCAUUGUUUUACUUCGCUGAUCGCUGUCCGGUACAGCUGGCUUAUAUCACGGCUUUUCCGGUGCUGUGUUUUCUUUUGGUUUGAA
rnacentral:lncRNA from 1 species